CUCCAACAUCUAUCUGCAGUCGAGCGGACCGACGGGAGCUUGCUCCCUUAGGUCAGCGGCGGACGGGUGAGUAACACGUGGGUAACCUGCCUGUAAGACUGGGAUAACUCCGGGAAACCGGGGCUAAUACCGGAUGCUUGAUUGAACCGCAUGGUUCAAUCAUAAAAGGUGGCUUUUAGCUACCACUUACAGAUGGACCCGCGGCGCAUUAACUAGUUGGUGAGGUAACGGCUCACCAAGGCGACGAUGCGUAACCGACCUGAGAGGGUGAUCGGCCACACUGGGACUGAAACACGGCCCAGACUCCUACGGGAGGCAGCAGUAGGGAAUCUUCCGCAAUGGACGAAAGUCUGACGGAACAACGCCGCGUGAGUGAUGAAGGUUUUCGGAUCGUAAAACUCUGUUGUUAGGGAAGAACAAGUACCGUUCGAAUAGGGCGGUACCUUGACGGUACCUAACCAGAAAGCCACGGCUAACUACGUGCCAGCAGCCGCGGUAAUACGUAGGUGGCAAGCGUUGUCCGGAAUUAUUGGGCGUAAAGCGCGCGCAGGCGGUUUCUUAAGUCUGAUGUGAAAGCCCCCGGCUCAACCGGGGAGGGUCAUUGGAAACUGGGGAACUUGAGUGCAGAAGAGGAGAGUGGAAUUCCACGUGUAGCGGUGAAAUGCGUAAGAUGUGGAGGAACACCAGUGGCGAAGGCGACUCUUCUGGUCUGUAACUGACGCUUGAGGCGCGAAAGCCGUGGGGAGCGAA
rnacentral:rRNA from 1 species